GGUUCAUGGGAAACCCUUAUGGUGUGAUCCAGGGUGAAAAUAUUUUAUUCCGACAGGAACAUCUCCACCAUCAUCAUCAUUUGAUGUAUGGACAAAGAAAAUCUCCUCCUUAAGAAACAAAAAUGAUUUUUUCCACUCUUCACCAAAGAAAUCGCUGAUAUCAAUGCAUUUCCAUCCAGGAGAGUAUGACCCAGCACAAAAGCAUGCUUUCCAAUUAGCAAAGUCAUGACCUAAUUCCGGUGGCGGCACCGGCGGCAUUGGCGUUGACCUUGACCUUGAAAAAGCACCGGUUGUUGACUUGUAAAAGUA
rnacentral:lncRNA from 1 species